GCUCUGGUGGCUCAAUCGGAUAGAGCGUUGGACUUCUAAUCUAAAGGUUGCGGGUUCAAGUCCCGCCCAGAGUA
rfam:Perkinsus marinus ATCC 50983 gcontig_1104296686106, whole genome shotgun sequence.